rnacentral:rRNA from 1 species
GCUCAGUAACACGUGGCUAACCUACCCUUGAGACGGAGACAACCCCGGGAAACUGGGGCUAAUCCCAGAUAGAUGAGAACUCCUGGAACGGGUUCUCGUCCAAAAGGCGUUAAAGUCAUGCUCUUUAGCGUCGCUCAAGGAUGGGGCCGCGGCCGAUCAGGCUGUUGGUGAGGCAACGGCUCACCAAACCUUUAACCGGUACGGGCCGUGGGAGCGGGUGCCCGGAGAUGGGAACUGAGACAAGGUCCCAGGCCCUACGGGGCGCAGCCGUUGCGAAAACUCGUCAAUGCACGAAAGUGUGAACGGGCUACCCCGAGUGCUGUCCGCUGAGGAUGGCUUUUCUCUGCUGUAAGGAGGCGGAGGAAUAAGGAGAGGGCAAGUCUGGUGUCAGCCGCCGCGGUAAUACCAGCUCUCCGAGUGGUGGGGAUGUUUAUUGGGCUUAAAGCGUCCGUAGCCUGCCCUUCAAGUCUUUCGUUAAAUCCAGCGAUUCAAUCGUUGGACCGCGGGAGAUACUGUUGGGCUANGGGGCGGGAGAAGCCGACGGUAUUUCCGGGGUAGGGGUAAAAUCCUAUAAUCCCCGGGAGGACCACCAG